GAUGAACGCUGGCGGCGUGCCUAAUACAUGCAAGUCGAGCGAACAGACGAGGAGCUUGCUCCUCUGACGUUAGCGGCGGACGGGUGAGUAACACGUGGAUAACCUACCUAUAAGACUGGGAUAACUUCGGGAAACCGGCGCUAAUACCGUAUAAUAUAUUGAACCGCAUGGUUCAAUAGUGAAAGACGGUUUUGCUGCCACUUCUCGAUGGAUCCGCGCCGCAUUAGCUAGUUGGUAAGGUAACGGCUUACCAAGGCGACGAUGCGUAGCCGACCUGAGAGGGUGAUAGGCCACACUGGAACUGAGACACGGUCAAGACUCCUAAGGGAGGCAGCAGUAGGGAAUCUUCCGCAAUGGGCGAAAGCAUGACGGAGCAACGCCGCGUGAGUGAUGAAGGUCUUCGGAUCGUAAAACUCUGUUAUUAGGGAAGAACAAAUGUGUAAGUAACUAUGCACGUCUUGACGGUAACUAAUCAGAAAGCCACGGCUAACUACGUG
rnacentral:rRNA from 1 species